rnacentral:rRNA from 1 species
GAUGAACGCUGGCUACAGGCUUAACACAUGCAAGUCGAGGGGAAACGACGGGGAAGCUUGCUUCCCCGGGCGUCGACCGGCGCACGGGUGAGUAACGCGUAUCCAACCUGCCUCUGACUGAGGGAUAACCCGUCGAAAGUCGGCCUAAUACCUCAUGGCAUCGUCUGCGGGCAUCCAACGACGAUUAAAGAUUUCAUCGGUCAGGGAUGGGGAUGCGUCUGAUUAGCUUGUUGGCGGGGUAACGGCCCACCAAGGCGACGAUCAGUAGGGGUUCUGAGAGGAAGGUCCCCCACAUUGGAACUGAGACACGGUCCAAACUCCUACGGGAGGCAGCAGUGAGGAAUAUUGGUCAAUGGGCGAGAGCCUGAACCAGCCAAGUAGCGUGCAGGAUGACGGCCCUAUGGGUUGUAAACUGCUUUUAUGCGGGGAUAAAGUGAGGGACGGUCC